rnacentral:rRNA from 1 species
UACAGAGGGUGCGAGCGUUAAUCGGAAUUACUGGGCGUAAAGCGCACGUAGACGGUUUGGUAAGUCAGAUGUGAAAUCCCCGGGCUCAACCUGGGAACUGCAUUUGAUACUGCCUGGCUAGAGUAUCGAAGAGGGAAGUGGAAUUUCCGGUGUAGCGGUGAAAUGCGUAGAUAUCGGAAGGAACACCAGUGGCGAAAGCGACUUCCUGGUCGAAUACUGACGUUCAUGUGCGAAAGCGUGGGGAGCAAACAGG